rnacentral:rRNA from 1 species
UAGACGGGAGAUUAAGUCAGUUGUGAAAGGCUGCGGCUCAACCGCAGCACUGCAGUCGAUACUGGUUUCCUUGAGUGCGGUUGAGGUGUAUGGAAUUCGUGGUGUAGCGGUGAAAUGCUUAGAUAUCACGAAGAACUCCGAUUGCGAAGGCAGUACACUAAGCCGUAACUGACGUUGAGGCUCGAAAGUGUGGGUAUCAAACAGGAUUAGAUACCCUGGUAGUCCACACGGUAAACGAUGAAUACUCGCUGUUGGCGAUACAAUGUCAGCGGCCAAGCGAAAGCAUUAAGUAUUCCACCUGGGGAGUACGCCGGCAACGGUGAAACUCAAAGGAGUUGACGGGGGCCCGCACAAGCGGAGGAACAUGUGGUUUAAUUCGAUGAUACGCGAGGAACCUUACCCGGGCUUAAAUUGCACUGGACAGGCUCAGAGAUGGGCUCUUCUUCGGACCAGUGUGAAGGUGCUGCAUGGUUGUCGUCAGCUCGUGCCGUGAGGUGUCGGCUUAAGUGCCAUAACGAGCGCAACCCUUGCCAUUAGUUACUAACAGGUCAUGCUGAGGACUCUAGUGGGACUGCCAUCGUAAGAUGUGAGGAAGGUGGGGAUGACGUCAAAUCAGCACGGCCCUUACGUCCGGGGCUACACACGUGUUACAAUGGGAGGUACAGAAGGCCGCUACCCGGCGACGGGAUGCCAAUCCCCAAAACCUCUCUCAGUUCGGAUUGGAGUCUGCAACCCGACUCCAUGAAGCUGGAUUCGCUA